rnacentral:sRNA from 1 species
ACCGAACCCAAACCUAAACUUUCUUUCAAGCCCUAUAUCACUUGUGAGUGUUUGUGAGGUUUUAUUUCGAUUGAGCUUGGUAGAAAGUGUUAGGUUCGUAAUGACAGAGAUAGUGUCUCAUGUAGUUCUAGUUCGCGUUCUUCAGACUGGAUAGGACUAGGUGGGCGCUUAUAUCUUGGGUUGGGAUGUGUUUAAAAGAAAAGGGUGAAUUCAUUGUUGAUAAGGAAAGGAAAAGAAUUCUAGGGGAAGUAAGCUAAAGAAGUUAGAAAAAAAUCUAGUAAAGGUUUUAGGAAUGUUAAAGAAAAGAAUGAGGUUCUUAUUAGCUAAAGAAGAAGGGUUAAAAGCCUUUUGUUUUAGAGAUUAAAAACAGGAACCUUAGUUGUUAAAGAAAUCCAAAUCCGCUAGAUGUAUUAGAG